UCCGUAGGUGAACAUGCGGAAGGAUCAUUGCUGAGACCCCAACAUUAACGAAUGACCUGUGAACAUGUGAAUGAAUGUGACAACUUGUGCCAUCGUGUUGAUGUCGUUGCGGAUGUUCCGUGAUCGUGUCAACAUGUUGGUGUGGGUUGGAACACCAACGAACUCCGGCACAGCCUUGUGUCAAGGAUGAAUAAAUUUCCAAAAAUGACAAUGCCCUUUCCUCGAGCAUUGCUUUCGAGAUUUGGGUCCAUCGUCAUGUUGUGAAGAAUUGGAUGACAACGGAUAUCUGGGCUCUCGCAUCGAUGAAGAACGUAGCGAAAUGCGAUACUUGGUGUGAAUUGCGGAACCCCGCGAACCAUCGAGUCUUUGAACUCAAGUUGUGCCUGAUGCCAUUUGGUGGAGGGCACAUCUGCCUGUGUGUCAGGUUUCGUGUUUGCUCCUCGCCUCUUGUGCCCAGCUCUAUUGCGAUGCUAGAGGUGUUGGAUGCAAAGUUUGGCUCCUCGUGCCCUUGUGCGCGUUGGGCUGAAGAAUGGGUUGUCGGCAUGAAGAGUAUAGCUAAUGGUUGAUGCUUUGUUGCAUAAAUGCUUAUUGUUGUGCUCUCAUUGCCCAAGCAUUUGAUGACCCAAAUUGCAAUCGUCUUGCCUUGCUCGACGCCUUGCACAGCGACCUCAGGUCAGGUGAGGCCACCCGCUAUGUUUAAGCAUAUCAAUAAGCGGAGGA
rnacentral:rRNA from 1 species